rnacentral:rRNA from 1 species
GACCUCAAAUCAGGUAGGACUACCCGCUGAACUUAAGCAUAUCAAUAAGCGGAGGAAAAGAAACUAACAAGGAUUCCCCUAGUAACUGCGAGUGAAGCGGGAAAAGCUCAAAUUUAAAAUCUGGUGGUUGUUUUUGACCGUCCGAGUUGUAAUCUAGAGAAGUGUUACCUGUGCUGGACCAUGUACAAGUCUCCUGGAAUGGAGCAUCAUAGAGGGUGAGAAUCCCGUCUUUGACAUGGACUACCAGUGCAUCUUGGUGCGCUCUCGAAGAGUCGAGUUGUUUGGGAAUGCAGCUCAAAAUGGGUGGUAAAUGCCAUCUAAAGCUAAAUAUUGGCGAGAGACCGAUAGCGAACAAGUACCGUGAGGGAAAGAUGAAAAGAACUUUGGAAAGAGAGUUAAACAGUACGUGAAAUUGCUGAAAGGGAAACGC